UACGUAGGGACCAAGCGUUGUCCGGAAUCAUUGGGCGUAAAGAGCGUGUAGGCGGCUUGUUAAGUCUUGCGUGAAAUCUCGGGGCUCAACCCCGAGCGGUCGUGAGAAACUGGCAGGCUAGAGUGCGGGAGAGGAGAGUGGAAUUCCUGGUGUAGCGGUGAAAUGCGCAGAUAUCAGGAGGAACACCGGUGGCGAAGGCGGGUCUCUGGGCCGGAACUGACGCUGAGGAGCGAAAGCGUGGGGAGCGAACAGG
rnacentral:rRNA from 1 species